GUAAUUGAGUGGGUGUGCAGGUGAGAGUUUCCACUUAAUAGGUUGCCUCUCCUGUGCUGUCACUAGGAAGAACAGAGGGUAGUGACACUGGGAGAAAAGGAGAGCGGAGAGACGGAGAGAGAGAGAGGCUCUACACAUCAUCCGCAGCUGAUACAGACAGUUUCAUCCUCAGACUUUUGCUCAACGCUACACACGGACUGGACUAAGGGCUCCUACUCCCUCCAGAAGACUAUGGCCUCAACUGCUUUUUUUAAAGACACAGGCCUCCUGCUCUUCUUACUACUGGGACUGCAGCCAUCGUCAUUUGUUUCAGGACAAAACACAAACUCAAGUUCCAAUUCAACGACCAAUGCUUCAUCAACUGUGAUGUCAACUGGCAUGAGUACUGACUCUGCAGCAACUAUCGUGACAGCUACCACAGCUCAAACUACAAUGUCGUCUGCCAUUUCUUCUACGAAUACUACAAUGUCUUCUGCAGGGUUGGGUAGUGGAACCACAAGCACGGACAAUACCACUUCAUGGGGCACCAGUGGCAUGACCAUGAUAUCCUGUCGACAGUUCUCCUGUAACUACUCAGACUGCUACAAUGUGUACAUGAAUAUGACUUCUGUUUCAUGCAACGCUAAUAUCACCUUCUGUGAGCUGAAGAGACAGGAAGACAUGACUUACACCGGUGGCUGCAGUUCCUCCUGCAGUAAUGCCUGUGUCAACGACACUCAGACCAACUGUACCAUGGGAUGCUGCAACUCCACUGGCUGUCUUAGCUCUACCCUGGCCUCCAUUUUUGGCACAAACACUACAACAGUGACUACAGUGAUGAUGACCACCACCACCACAACAACAGCAGCAGCCACCACUACAACUGCUGAACCAACCAAUGUUCCUUAAUCAAUCAGUGAUUUUCAAACACAGAUUCAACCACAAAGACCAGAGAGGUUUUACAAUGUUUCGCAAAGAAGAUCAUCUGUUUGUAGAUAGAAACUUAAGAAGUGCCAGAUGUUUCAGUGCACAGAGCAGGACUGUUACAAGACUUGGAUAACCAAAGACCCAAUGCCUUGUCCCCUCAACCAGCCCUACUGUGAGCUGAAAAAGAUAACAACUGGUUCAUCAACAACCUGGAUGGGAGGCUGCAAUGCCAACUGCACAAUAAACACCUGGUGUACGACCACAACAGAUACAUGCCACCAAGAGUGCUGCAACACCUCCAUGACCUCCUGCCUCAAGCUGGAUGGUACUCUGAACGUUCCUUCUUCUGCCACUAGGGGUCUGCACUUCCCUUUAGCAAUGUUCACUGCUGCUCUGCUGGUUUGUCUGCUCAGCAUUGGUUCUCUGGCUUAAACUGGGUCGUGUUCAGUAGGUACCAAGCGGGGGAAAAAAUUAUUGAAAGAGGGAGGAAAUACCUUGACUUGUCC
rnacentral:lncRNA from 1 species